rnacentral:tRNA from 1 species
GGGCGGUUAGCUCAGCGGUAGAGUAUCGGUCUUACAAACCGGGGGUCGCAGGUUCGAACCCUGCACCGCCCACCA